rnacentral:lncRNA from 1 species
AUGAGCACCAGCCAAAAUGACUUCCUGUUGUUGUCAUCAUUUCCCUCUACCCCCACGCUCUGCCCCUCUCUCCAUCUCUCCAGAUCCCUUCCUACCCUCCUCUCUCCCCCUCUCCCCAGAUUUCUCGUACCCCCCUCUAUCCUUCACCCCAGUUCCCCUCCUACCCCCUUCUCCCCCUCUCUCCAGAUCCCCUCCUACCCCCCUCUCCCUUUCUCCAGAUCCCCUCCUAGCCUUCUCUCUCCCCCAGUCUCCAGAUUCCCUCCUAUCCCUCUCUCUCCCUCUCUGCAGUUCCCCCAUACCCCCUCUCUCCCUCUCUGCAGAGCCCGUUCCUACCCCGUCUCUCCCUACUACUCCCCUCUCUCCCUCUCUCCAGAUCCUCUCUCCUGCACUCUCUCCUGCACUCUCUCUCUCUCCAGAUCCCCUCCUACCCCUCUCUCUCCCUUUCUCCAGAUCUCCUCAUAUCCCCCUCUCUCCCCACCUCUCCCUCUCUGCAGAUCCCCUCCUAUCCCCCUCUCUCCAGAUUACCUCCUACCCCCUCUCUCCCUUUCUCAAGGUCCAUCUUAUCCCCCUCUCUCCCUUUCUCCAGAUCCCUCCUACCCCCUCUCUCCCUUUCUCCAAAUCCCUCCUACCCCCCUCUCCCCCUCUCUCCAGAUCCCCUCCUACCCCUAUUUCUCCAGAUCCCUCCUACCCCCCUGCUCCCUCGUUCCCUCUCUCCAGAUCCCCUUCUACCCCUUCUCUCCAGAUCCCCUUCUACCCCCUCUCUCCAGAUCCCCUUCUACCCCCUCUCUCCAGAUCCCCUCCUACCCAUCCUACCCCCCUGUUUCCAGAUCCCCUCCUAUACCUUCUCUUUCACUCUCUCCAGAUCCCCUCCUACCCCUCUCUCUAGAUCCCCUCCUACCCCCCUCUCUCCAGAUCCCCUCCUACCCCUUCUCUCUCCCUCUCUCCAGAUCCCCUCCUAACCCUUCUCUCCCCCUCUCUCCAGAUCCCCUUCUACCCCCUCUCUCCAGAUCCCCUCCUACCCAUCCUACCCCCCUGUUUCCAGAUCCCCUCCUACACCUUCUCUUUCACUCUCUCCAGAUCCCCUCCUACCCCUCUCUCUAG